rnacentral:lncRNA from 1 species
GAAAGCAGACAGAAGAGAAUCAAAGUGAAGUACAUAUUAAGGCAGAUCAUUAGGGAAAAGAAACAGGAUAUAAAAACCUGACGUGUCUGUGGCAAGAUCCUGGCCACCUAACUUAUUAACGCAGCGUCCAUUGUGAGAUGCCGCAGUUCCGUGCAGUCAGAAGAUGGCUCCAGCGCGUUAAUUUUGCUCCUGUUUCUAGCACGAGAUUUAAGGGGCAAGAUGCACUUCAGUGCUAUUUUUCCUUUCUGAUUUUGCCGUCGUCUCAUUUGGUUCAAAACAUCAAACUGCAGCAUAUAUGGAGUUGUAAAGGGUCCAUUAAUAUAGAUGUUCUAGUCACCAGCUAAUGCAGAUGGAAAGGGAAAUACAGGGCCACAGAAGGAGAUUGAAAAGCACCGGCCUAAGCAACUUUGGAAAAUGGACACACCCAUAUUCACACCACCACAACCGAAGAAUAGAGUGUUCCUAUCACCCGGAAAAGUUCCUUCAUUCUCUUUUGCAGCCAAUCACCCUCAUUCAACCCCUGGCUCUCAGCAACCACUGAUCUAAUUUGAGUUGCCAUAGAUUAUUUUGCUUAUUUUGGAAUUUCAUCUCAGGGAACCAUACUGUGUGCAUUCUUUCAUGUCUGGCUUCUUUUGAUUAGCUUAGUUUGUUUUUUUGUUUGUUUGUUUAGACUCAUCCAAGAGUAGUGGCUAAUCUUAUAUUUUAUUUAUUUUUAUCACUGAGUAAUAUCUCCUUAUAUGAAUAUAUUAAUAAGUCAACAUUUAAUAAUGCAUUCACUUUUUGAUGGGUGUUUAAAUUGUUUCCAAUGUGGGGCAAUUUGAACAAAUAUGCUAUGAACACUUUUGUACGUGUCUUUUUGUGGGCUUAGGUUUUAGGUUUUAUAGUAAAUAGCCAGGAAUGCAAUUCCUGAGUUAUAUGGUACAUAUACAUUUAACUUUACAAGAAAGUGUCCAAAGUUGCUGUAUUAUUUACACUGGGAGCUGCUAUGUAUGAGAGUUCUCAUUGUUCUCCAUCCUUGCCAAAACUUGAGAUUGUCAGGUCAUUUUAAUUUAGCCACUAUAAUGGGUAUGUAGGGCUAUCUCAAUGUGGUUUAAUUUGCAUUUCUCAGAUGACUAAAUAUGAUGAAUAUCUUUCCAUAUGCUUAUUUGACAUUUGUAUUCUUUUGUGAGCAUCUGUUCAAACGUUUAGUUUAUUUUUAAAUAGUAUUUUUUUUAAAAUUAUUGAGUUGUAAAGUAUUUUUUUAAAUGUAUAUUCUGGACACAAACUCUUUGUCAGAUGUAUGUAUUAAAAAUAUACACUCCCAGACAUUAUGCUAAGUGAAGUAAGCCAGGGACAGAAGGACAAAUACUGCGUGAUGUCACAUGUAGAAUCUAAAACAAUUGAACUCAGAAGCAGAGAGUGGAAUGGUGGUUAUGGGAAGCCGGGGAAGUAGAGGGAAUGGAGAGAUGCUGAUUAAAGGGUACAGAGUUUCACUUAGAGAGGAGAAAUAAAGUUUUUUGAGAUCUAUUGCACAGCAUGGGGACUGUAGUUAACAAUAAUGUAUUGUAUAUUUCAAAAUUGCUAAGAAAGUAAAUUUCAAAUGUUUUCACCACAAAAAAGAUAGGUAUUUGAAGUGAUAGUACGUUAAUUAGCUUGACGGAAUCAUCUCAUUGUAUGCAUAUAUCAUAACAUCACUAUGUACCCCACAACUUUAUGUAAUUAUAAAUUGCCAAUUCACAAUGUGAUAUAAAAAAUAAAUAUACUCUCCCACUCUUUGGCUUGCCUUUCAUUUUCUAAGACAUUUUUGUGAAGAGCAGAUUUUAAAAAUUUUGUGAAGUUCAAUUUACUAAUUUUGUGUGGUUAAUGCUGUU